rnacentral:rRNA from 1 species
UACAGAGGUCUCAAGCGUUGUUCGGAUUCAUUGGGCGUAAAGGGUGCGUAGGCGGCGCGGUAAGUCGGGUGUGAAAUCUCGGAGCUUAACUCCGAAACUGCGUUCGAUACUGCCGUGCUUGAGGACUGGAGAGGAGACUGGAAUUUACGGUGUAGCGGUGAAAUGCGUAGAUAUCGUAAGGAAGACCAGUGGCGAAGGCGGGUCUCUGGACAGUUCCUGACACUGAGGCACGAAGGCCAGGGGAGCAAACGGG